AGUGAACGCUGGCGGCAGGCCUAACACAUGCAAGUCAAACGGCAGCGCGAGAGAGCUUGCUCUCUUGGCGGCGAGUGGCGGACGGGUGAGGAAUACAUCGGAAUCUGCCUAUUUGUGGGGGAUAACGUAGGGAAACUUACGCUAAUACCGCAUACGACCUACGGGUGAAAGCGGAGGACCUUCGGGCUUCGCGCAGAUAGAUGAGCCGAUGUCUGAUUAGCUAGUUGGUGGGGUAAAGGCCUACCAAGGCGACGAUCAGUAGCUGGUCUGAGAGGACGAUCAGCCACACUGGGACUGAGACACGGCCCAGACUCCUACGGGAGGCAGCAGUGGGGAAUUUUGGACAAUGGGCGAAAGCCUGAGCCAGCAAUGCCGCGUGUGUGAAGAAGGCCUUCGGGUUGUAAAGCACUUUUGUCCGGAAAGAAAUGGCUCUGGUUAAUACCUGGGGUCGAUGACGGUACCGGAAGAAUAAGGACCGGCUAACUACGUGCCAGCAGCCGCCGUAAAAC
rnacentral:rRNA from 1 species